rnacentral:rRNA from 1 species
GACGAACGCUGGCGGCGUGCUUAACACAUGCAAGUCGAGCGGAAAGGCCCUGCUUUUGUGGGGUGCUCGAGUGGCGAACGGGUGAGUAACACGUGAGUAACCUGCCCUUGACUUUGGGAUAACUUCAGGAAACUGGGGCUAAUACCGGAUAGGAGCUCCUGCUGCAUGGUGGGGGUUGGAAAGUUUCGGCGGUUGGGGAUGGACUCGCGGCUUAUCAGCUUGUUGGUGGGGUAGUGGCUUACCAAGGCUUUGACGGGUAGCCGGCCUGAGAGGGUGACCGGCCACAUUGGGACUGAGAUACGGCCCAGACUCCUACGGGAGGCAGCAGUGGGGAAUAUUGCACAAUGGGCGGAAGCCUGAUGCAGCAACGCUGCGUGCGGGAUGACGGCCUUCGGGUUGUAAACCGCUUUCGCCUGUGACGAAGCGUGAGUGACGGUAAUGGGUAAAGAAGCACCGGCUAACUACGUG